rnacentral:rRNA from 1 species
UAGGGAAUCUUCCACAAUGGACGCAAGUCUGAUGGAGCAACGCCGCGUGAGUGAAGAAGGUUUUCGGAUCGUAAAGCUCUGUUGUUGGUGAAGAAGGAUAGAGGUAGUAACUGGCCUUUAUUUGACGGUAAUCAACCAGAAAGUCACGGCUAACUACGUGCCAGCAGCCGCGGUAAUACGUAGGUGGCAAGCGUUGUCCGGAUUUAUUGGGCGUAAAGCGAGCGCAGGCGGAAGAAUAAGUCUGAUGUGAAAGCCCUCGGCUUAACCGAGGAACUGCAUCGGAAACUGUUGUUCUUGAGUGCAGAAGAGGAGAGUGGAAUUCCAUGUGUAGCGGUGGAAUGCGUAGAUAUAUGGAAGAACACCAGUGGCGAAGGCGACUCUCUGGUCUGCAACUGACGCUGAGGCUCGAAAGCAUGGGUAGCGAACAGG